UCUCCGUAGGUGAACCUGCGGAGGGAUCAUUACUGAGUGAGGGUCUCCGGGCCCGACCUCCAACCCUUUGUAAUCCAUACCAUGUUGCCUCGGGGGCGACCCGGCCGUUUGGCCCCGGGGCCCCCGGUGGAAACCCAUCAAAACUCUGCAUCUCUGGCGUCUGAGUAGAAAUUGAAUCAAUCAAAACUUUCAACAACGGAUCUCUUGGUUCUGGCAUCGAUGAAGAACGCAGC
rnacentral:misc_RNA from 1 species